rnacentral:rRNA from 1 species
UAGAGUUUGAUCCUGGCUCAGGACGAACGCUGGCGGCGUGCUUAACACAUGCAAGUCGAACGGAACCUUCGGGUUUAGUGGCGAACGGGUGAGUAAUGCGCAGGUAAUCUGCCGCAAGUCGGGGACAACGUUCCGAAAGGGACGCUAAUACCGGAUGUUGUAAGAUUUUCGCAUGAAUUUCUUACCAAAGAUUUAUCGCUUUGCGAGGAGCCUGCGUCCGAUUAGGCAGUUGGCGGGGUAAAAGCCCACCAAACCGACGAUCGGUAGCCGGUCUGAGAGGAUGAACGGUCACAAUGGAACUGAGACACGGUCCAUACUCCUACGGGAGGCAGCAGUGGGGAAUAUUCCACAAUGGGCGAAAGCCUGAUGGAGCGACGCCGCGUGAGUGAAGAAGGCUUCGGCUCGUAAAGCUCUUUUCUCGUUGACGAAUUGUUUUCGGAACAGUUGACGUAGACGGGGAAUAGCCACGGCUACUACGUGCCAGCAGCCGCGGUAAUACGUAGUGCAAGCGUUGUCCGAAUUAUUGGGCGUAAAGGGAGCGCAGCGGAAUCAGUCCAAUUAAAGUCCGGAGUAUGGCCGUGAUGGUUGAAACUG